rnacentral:lncRNA from 1 species
CCCUGUGACAAUCUGCGACCGUCCAGAACCAAUGCAGUGGCGAGAUAACGUGCAACCUCCGUCUACUCCGAUAAACGUAGUACCGUAAGGUCAGAUCUCGUUGUUUGCGUCACUCUCCAGAGACGUUGUUUUAGGGAGGCAAGGGAGUUGCCAGGUUUCUCGUACUUUCAUAUGCCUUCCUUAGCAGUUUGCCACUUCAUAGUCGGGUGGCCGGUGCCAGGGCGCAUGUUAACCGCUACAGUGGAUGCUCAGAAACUGCACUAGUUAUCAAGGCCCCGUCGUUGUAGGAGCGUUUGGGGAGUCACUACCAUAUUCCCACUACUGUGAACAAGAAGAAAAAGAGUGCUGUUGGUGUCUUAUCCGCGACCACGACGAUUAGGGGCCGCAAAAAUCCGAGUACCCCACACGACAGCCGAACGGAUUCUAUCCGCUGACAAAGCCACGGAGUUGCCCGAGCCUAUGACAGGAAGGCUCUCCUGUGACUUCAGAUAUGGGCUUUUUCCCUUGAGAUUCUGCGAGUGGUGUAGCGUAUGUCAUUUUGGCAGAUGGCAGGUCCCCACUGUGACAGCGAACAAAGUGUCCCUUUGUUGCCUCUGGUCCGACCUGCGCAGCAGUCCUCUGACAAUGAUCACCUAUACGAACCGUAGAGUGUUUUCCAAAUGCUCUUCUGUGUUUCCUCGAAGUAUGAAUAAUGGGAAAAAGUGGCACACGCUGUCCAAGUGAUGAAUCUACGCCCCCUACACAGCACUGUCCGACCAACAACGGGUGCCUCUGACCGGUCAUGAUUUAUUCACUGUAUGGAGACAGAGCCGUCAGUGAUCAACUGAGGUACUUAGUGAGCGGAGAGAUCAAAUGUCAACAUCGAACAAAGUCUUUUUGCGCCUUGUGGCAGACCACCACGAGUUCAAUGGAUUCGAAUACCUGAAAAAAAAUAUUUCACAAUCAAGGGAAGGGUGUGACUUGGUCGAGGAAAGGGUGGGACCUGGUUUGUAGCCUGACGAGACAUCACACACGAAUCCGAAGGCUACGCGUUUCAGUCGUGAGCAGUGUUGUUGCAUUUGCAGCAUGUGCUGCAACGGGUAAGUGACGGGUUGUGUUAGAGAUGAUUUAUUGUCUGGGUGCUCCUGCGACAUUCCUGUUGGGCGACAAUUUCACUUCCAGUAUGUGGGCCUGCCAACGGCCGAGCCUGCUCCUUUGAAUUAGAACCAAGUGUUCGCCGUCGCCCGACCGCAGGCCAGGCGCUCACGCUACAACACGGAUGACGUUCUAAACGUUCUAAAUGGAGACUAAGUCAUCUCGAAACCGACAAAGAAGGCAGCCGUAGAACUGGUGAUGUCUUCAGGUGUGGCGUAGCGCCCCAUCUCUAUCGAAUAUGUGCCAGCGUUCCCCUCACACCUAGCUAAUGCAUCUCUCCACAGGAGUAGACCUGCCUUUACUGUAGCGCUGCGCGCUGGUUUGGCUGGAGCGAGUUUUUUGCAAUUAACAAAGGGGGUCCCUCUGCUGAAGCC